CCGGAUGGCAGGGGGGUGGGGGCGCGGGAGCGGCCCCCGGAAAGCGCCGCUAACGGCGCGGGUGCGCUCUCGCUCGGCGCUGCUAAAACGGGCUUGCUCCGAGGGGCCGGAGAUGCUGUUGCUGCCGAGUGAAAAUACUUUCAGUAAGUGAUGAAAAAAUUUUCCACUUUAUUCGGUUGUUGGCUGGGGCCCAGUGCACUGACGUCCCAGAGUUCUUCGGGGAAGAGCCGGGAGGUUUCCAGCAUCCUCCGACCUGAGUGUCGCCGGGAGAAGAGUUAAGACCGAGCCUGAACAUUGUAACGCACCUGGCGGCGCUUGAGAAAGUGACAAAGGCACAGCUCAGGUGCGUGGCUCAGGGACUGAUGCCCGGGCCCAAAAUUGUGUCCAUUAAGGGACUGGUAAUGGCUGGGCUUAGCCCGGGAAGGUUCCCCGAAGAAGGCGAUUUGAGGGGAGGCUGUGGCUGCGCGGCCUAGGACAGGAAGAGCAGUCCGGGACGGGCCGAGCGCGUGGACGGCGCUCCCACCGGCUGCCUGGGGACAGGAGGCAGCAAAGGCGCCAGCAGCCCUCAGGGGUUCUCGGGUGCGAACCACGCAGGGCCUGUGGCUCCUGGUCCCAGCUAGUCAGCCAAUGAAAGAUAGACGCAGGGGACCCUCCCCACCGCCUCCACCUCCAGCCAUUGUAAACUUACUCACCUGCGGAGGAAUUGCCACUGGAAACAUUCUGGGACACAUGGCCAGAGGCUUCUCUUGGGGGUUGCUUUCCCAGGAGCCCACGACAAGUGUCUAUCAAGGACCAAAACACCAGGAGCGUUCGAUCAGUCAUUCUUUGGGAUCAGAGCGCCUGCUGCUUGUAAAGCCAUACCAACGCCAUUACCAGCGGUGAGGGGGCAGAGAGGGAAAGUAAGAAGGACAGAGGAAGAGCCAUGCUUCUGCCCUGAGCAUCUUAGAAGGGUUUGUGCCCCUCUUGUACGUCCCGCGUCAUGCUCCCUGCUGUAAAGAUGUGCACUGUUCCUACAGCCACGUGUGGGUGCGGAUCCCCUAAAAUGUGCCUCGUCCAAACUGAACUGUGCUGUCCAUGUAAGAAUCACACUGGAUUUGAAAGACUUAGUGAAGGAAAGUGACAGCUCGUGGACACCUUUAACACUUAUUAUGUGUUAGAAGAAUAUUGGAGAGCCACUGAAUUAAAAUCAAAUACAUUAUUAAAAUUAA